CUCGCCAGUCUGAGCCCCCUGUUCUCUCCAUCCCCUUCAUAGGAAUGAUUGUAAUAGUGGCCUUGAUUUGGUGCUGGUGGGAGGAGCUGGCGUCUUAGAUGGGACCAGCGCGACUGUGAAGGCUGGAACCUGGCAGUGGUGGCAGUCGCCGUGGCAGCCAUUGCUGUUCUGGUUGUCCCUAGUUUCACCAGGGCUUGAGGAGUACACAGGAAGCGACCUCACGGUGAACUGUAGGAUUGUGGGAUUGCCGUCAUCCAUCCAGUGCUGCCCUCAUACAUGUGACCAUCCUGAUGUCUGCUUGUUGCAUCUCCACGACACUUUGACCCAAACGCCACAGACGUCAGUGAGUGCUGGAGGGGAAAGCAAUAGGAAUUCCCGACAUCGUCUACUAUGAUUCUUUACUCUUCCUGCAGGUCAGCUCUGCGCAGAUGGUCAAGCGGUUGAUUUAUUGAUUACUCACCAUCACAGUUCAAGAGUUGAACAGAAUAUCUCAUUUUGUUGUAUCUUCCAGAAGUACCAGAAGUAGCUUGUCAUGAGGUUCGUGAAGACAGUGGACUAAGUUUCACUUUCGUGUUAGUGGAUGCUACAUAUAUUUAAAAAAAAAAUGUCUCUACAUUCAGUGUUAAAAUGGAAAAUAUAAACUCAUGGGGUGAAAUGAUCUAAUUAACUUACUGAUAAAACAUGCUUACUUACUUGAAUAGUUUUGGUGAUUAUUCAUUAAAAUUAGAUUUGAUCAAACAGCAGUCCAAAACAAAAGGGUCAUUAAUUUAAAGACAACACUCUGAAAAAGUAGCACAUUUUUACUUUAAAAAUGACUUGAGUUAUUAUAUUUUCCUUCAGCUUUAAAAUGAUUUGCCUUAUUUCUGUCCUGGUGACUUUAACGAGUACUUUGCACUUACUGAUAAAGGAGAAAACAGUAGCAGAUAAAACUUGAUUGUUAAGUGUUUCAAAUACUUCCUUCCUUCUUAAUGUUGUACAUCAUCUGAUCAUGUAUUUGUCAGAAACUUAACGCUGAUUAACUUUAAUCAGCGUUAAGUUUCAGCAGGUCUGGUUUGUAGCAUGAAACAUCGGGAUUAGCUUUAUUUUACCUUCCUCACUUCUUAUAAAUCCGUUUACAUGUCUGGAUUUCUGUUUUUCAAAUGUGUAGUAUGACUAUCUAUAAAAGUAAAAUAGCACUUUAAAAAAAUAUAUUUCCUAAAGCUCAUUUCUAAAGAGAGAUAAUUUCUGUGGACUGAUUACACUGUGUUUAAAUUCAGAUUGUGCCAGAGUUGUUUUCAUUUUGCACAGUUAGGUGUAGCAGAUGGUUUUCAUUGAUUUAUUUAUUGAUUUAUUUUUGAACAGACACUUUCCUCCUUCUCUGAAAUAAUGCUAGGGGGAUUUUUUGUUGUUAAUUUGUAGAAAAUUUGAUUAAAAUCAAAACACAGCAAAUGCUGGUGUUACUUAACAUGCAAAUUUCAGAUUUGUGUAUGCAGAUGACACUUUUCUUUAUUUUUAAGAAGAGCAGAGUUUGAUCAAAACGUAAUGAACUGAAAACUAUAAUGAUUAAACAGCAAAUUAAGUUUUUACUAAAAAAGUCCAAAUUUUAUGUAUGCAGAUGAUACAUUAUUUUACAUCUAACGGUUGAGCACAAUGCAGCAAAAUGAAUUUCAUGAAAAUUUGAUUAAUUGAAAAAUGAUAGAAGUUAAGCUCAUAUACAGUCCUAAUCAAAUAAGGGCACUGGGCGAUAUCUAUUUACAAAUAAUAAUGGAGGAGGACCAGAAAUGAUGUCAUGUAGUGGAACACCUUUCACUAAAUUCAAAAUGACAGUGAUAAGGACACAAAGUUUUAUUUAGAUUCCAACAGUGAAUAUUUCAGGGUAUGUGGAACACCACAAGACGUUGUUUUGUUUUGUUUAUUUUUUUCUUCUGUAGAAAAUAAAAACUGGGAUGGAUCUUGUCUGAAAGGGGCGGCAAAAAUUUAGCAUUUAAUAUAAAACCCCAAAGAGAAGUCUACAUCUGCAUUUUGGUUGAUCAAACUUCUCAGAUGCCUCAGAUCAUCCUUCUGAAUAAACACUUUUUUCUGUAAGCUUUUGAAUCUUUUUACUACCCAAAUACAUCUCUUUUUUGCUUUUGCACAUAGACACAUUUCAAACUUUAUGGUUCCUAAGUUAUGUUUACAUUUAAAUGGAGACCAAAUAAUCCUAGAAAAUAAGAAUAAGCUGUUCAGAUGACUGUGAUCCCUUUCAGGGUGGAACCAGGUACUUCUGUCAAACUUGUUUCAGUAAGAUAACAACUAGCUCAGACAUUCCAGUUUAUUUACAACAUAUGGCACUGCAAAUGAAGAUUGAACUAUGACACGUGUACUUGACUGAAGAUAUUAAAAGCAUUAAUUUGAUAAAGCAGGGCUUUAACAAACUGUGGGAAUUUAAAAUGAAUAAAGGCUUAUUAAUUAAUUUAAGAUUAUUUAAAUUAAUUAAUAAUUAAAUCCGAAGUUUGAUCAGGCUAUUAUACUGUAUUGUUUAAAACAACUAGUAGCAUGUGCUGUUAGGAGCUCCUAUAAACAUUUUGCAUGACAAACACGUGUAGCCUACUUUAAAGACACUUGCUGAAGGAAAAACAUAUUUUACACAUUUAACUGAUGUUGUGAAGUUUUCUUAGUAAUAUGUGUAGGUCAGCUCCCAGCAGAAAAAAAAAACCAAUAAUAUAUAUGAAAAGUUAGUCACGAUAAAGACUUAAUUGCCACACAACUUUCACGUGGUAACUUUUUUUAAUGUACUUAUUUAUUCAAAUUAAAGGUAUGAAAGCCCAUUACUGCCAGAAAAGGGAAACCAGUUAGGAACAAAACAUUAUUAUCUCAUUAAUGUCACUAGCUAAGUCAACAUUAAUUAGAUAAUAAGACAGAUGUUGAGUUGCACAUUAUUUAAUCAUUUUGAUCAGUGAGUUUCAACUAAUUUUAUAGUGAUAUUUUAGAACAUAAAAUACUAAUAGUUAUAACCUAUAUUUGACCUGCUAGUGUUUUUGGUAUUUCCUGGGCUUGAAUCUGGUUUUGUGUUGUAUCAGGGCUCUCACUGUCUUUAGUGUUGUCUUUGUUGGUCUUGUGUUAAAAAUGUGUCUGAAAAUAUGUAAUUUAUUUGAGACUUCCACAACCUUACCUGGCACUGAAUCAAUUCCUCCAGAAUGUUUUUAAAUCUGUGUUUUACUGUGAAUACAAACUCGAUACUAUUUUUUUAUCAUUAUGUCAGUAAAAUUACAAAAAUCUUCCUAAAAGCUGCAUGCCGGUGUUCCUCUGUACCGUUUUGGUAUCUUUGCUUUGAUCAGUGCUUUGUUCUGAUUUUUCUUCCACUUAGUUUCUUCUUUGUUCUGUUUUAAAGUGCAUAAUUUUCCUACAGCUUCUGUGAUAAUAAGUAUGUGAUAGUUCGUCAGAUGUUUGCAAAUCUAGCAUUAAGAAGAGUCUGGGGGUGGACUGAUUAUUGGUUUCCUGAUACAUUAAUAUACAGCAGCACAACUCAGACUGUUUGUCCAUUAUGCAGAAAUCACAUCUGAAUUUAUAGAACAAUUUAAAAAACUUUCUUUCAUCUAUUGUGUGAAUAUGGAUUUACUUUGAAAACUUCUCAAACAUCUGAGUUUCCUGUUAGGCCACCAAAUCUCCUCUGAUGGUUCUCGUAUGUCUGUGUUGGAGUUAUCUUGACAAAAGUCACAAUAAUAUAAUCAAAAUACGAAAUGUGUCAGUUUAUCUGCUGGGUUUCUGCCACAGUAACUUGCACUUGAUAUCAAUUUCUGGAGGUCUGUGAUAGUUUUUAUGUACUUCUGAAAACAGAACAAGUACUUAUCUGAUCCUUUUGUUGUUCUCUUUUCACAAAAUGAAAAUGUAAAAGUGAAAAGGCGUGUUUUGUUUUAUCAGUGAUAUCCUGAAUCCGUCCAUCCUUAGCACAGUCCUGACAAACGUUAGCUCCCAGUAGGUAUCUCCAUCCUGCAUGUUAGGUUUAGAGGAAUAGUGACUUUGCAUGAAAUUAGAAGAGUAGAUGUAGCCGCUGUAGCAGCUUCAGCCAAGCUGUAGCAUGAGCGCUAAAAUCCAAUUCUUCCAUUAGCCGAUGCAGACUGUGUUAUUAGCCAAUUGUUUUUAUGGUGGAUUUUAGUUUCAUCUGGGUUUAACCAAGCUGAGCAUGAACACUGGAACCAUGGGAGCACCUGAACAUCUACAUGAUGGUUUACAUUAAGUUUAUGUGGCACACAGCUAAAGACAUCGUUAUCAUUGAACUAGUUUAACUUAUAGAACUACAAACAGUUUAACCCAACAUGUUUUCCUGCUGGUUUCUAACUGGUGCUGUGUCGCGCAGCUGUGUCUAAUAGAAAUAGCAGUUUAUUAUAGUUAUCUAUCAGUAGCAGCUAGUUCAGCCUAAUUUAGCACAAGUCCGUGUAGCUGCUGAAAUACUGGCAUGUUUUAUUAGCUAAGUGAUAUUUUUGUUGUUAUUAACCACUGCAGGCAUUACGCUAGUUUCUUCUAGUACUGACAGGUAUUGUUGUAGUUUUUUGUAACUGGUGUUUAUAAAAUUAGCUUAGCCUAGCUUAACAUAUGUUAGCCAGCAUAACUAAAGAUAGCAUGCUAAAUGUUUUUCCAUAUUUUGGGAUUUAUUUGGUAGUUAGCAAUAGAUGUAUUCAACAUCAUGCUAGUUGGUAUAAAAAUGAAUGUUAUGGUUUGUUGUUUUGUUUUGUUUUGUUUUGUUUUGUUUUGGGGGUGGGACAAGUGUUCAUAUGUUUAAACGUGAUUAGCCAAGCUCAGCGUUGAUUAGGAUGACACAUAGGGGGAAACUGCCAAUGAGAUUAAAAAAAAAUACAGAAGAAACUGAUAGCUAUCAGUUUGCCCCUGAGUUCCAGCCUUUUUGCAAAGCUAGGUUCAUCCUGGAUGUGUACUUAGACAACGGUGAAAAUGAACCAUCAGAAAAGAUUUUAAAAUGUCUGACUGUUUAAACUCCUCAGAUUUCACUGCUGAUUGUGCGUCAGGUGUUACUGUCAAGUAUCAGGUGUGCUGUAUGAACUCUGCUUCUACUUUGGCGUCCUGAAUCUCAGCCGCAAAAAAGCGGAACGUCACUGUCAUCUGGCUGCUGUUUCUCUUCUUUGUUUUUGAUCUCUGUUCUUGAUGUUUUUGCACUAUGCUAACAUCUGUCUGGGACUGUAUUUUAUGUUUGGUUUGGUAAAUGAUCUAAUACAAAUAAACAUAGUUUUCCUUGUC